UCCUUGGGACAUACAGAAUGCCUUAAAGAAAAAAUUAUUCAUGCAGCUUGUUAAAGAUGGUUAGACAGAUUUUAUUCAGUACCACUGAGGGCAAUGGAAAAUGCAAUGGCAUCUAAUCAAGAAUCACAGCCGGGAAGCUAGAGUCAGAAGAAAGACCAAACUCCACCAAAGUUUCUUCUUCAUCUCCUUCCACAAAUCCACUCUCAUUGAAAGCAAGCUGUCGUGUUGGAGAAGUUCACAUGGCUAGGAACUGAAGGUGACUUCUGGUCAACAGUCAGAACAGAACUGAAGUCUUCUGGUUAAGUCCAAUAGCCCACAAGGAACUGAAUGCUGCCAGCAACCAAGGAGUGAGCUUGGAAGCCAGUUCUCCCUCAGCUGAAUCUUAAGAUGACUGCAGCCCUGGCUAACGCCUUGUUUGCAGCCUUGUUUGAGACUGAAGCAGAGGACCCAGUUAAGCCAUGUCCACAUUCCUAAUCCACAAAAACUGUGAGAUAAUAAAUGCUCACUAGCCACUAAGUUGUGUGGGUAAUUUCUUAUGCAGCAAUAGAUAACUAAUACAGAUAGUAACUAAAAUAUUUGGUGAAGCGGUAAUCUACCACAAUAAACACAAUACAUAUGGAAGUGGACAGGCUGCUCUUUGCCAUAUACAAGAUCAGUACUUCUAAACAAAUCAAAUUUUAUUCAGAGUGGUUUUCCAUGGGACUUAUAACUUGGCAUUUGCCCUGAGUUUCUGUUCUUAUUUUAUAUAAUCAUAAAAUAUUGGGGUCACAAUUUCAGUAGCUCCAGAAACUAAUUAUAGAAAUACUACUAAGCCACAACAAAGUAAGUAUAUUUUUAUAAAAUGAGUUUGAGAACAUAAGAUUUCCUUGGGCAUUGUUUAUGGAGUGCUCUAAUUUCUCAUUGAUUAUUUUGUAACUGGUAAAUGUUUUGGUGGCUGUCUACUCUUUAUAAUUUAAAAUAGUAUAGAAAUGCUAAAAUCAACCCUCACUUAUAUAAAAAAUUCUCAGUAAUAUAAGGGGAGAUUCUUCCCAAGAGUAGAGUAUGGAAAGGGAGACCGAAAAAAGUAACUUGAUAGUGGAGAAACCAGACUAACAUGAACUCUAGCCCGGUAAGCAAGGUUAACAUCAAUAGGAAUGAGUCAUAUUGGUAGUGUGUAACCUUGAUAAGAUGUCAUGAGAAUGCCACUUUUGCUCUGUGGUAUUCCUCCCCAAAACACAUUACCCCAGUCCAAUGAUGAGAAAAACAUUAAACAAAGCUUAGUGGAGGGACAUUCUACAAAAUACCUGACCAAAAAUUUUCAAAACUUUUCAAAGUCAUCAAAACCAAGGAAAGUUUG